GACGAACGCUGGCGGCAUGCCUAAUACAUGCAAGUCGAACGCUGAAGCACCCUGCUUGCCGAGUGCGGUUGAGUGGCGAACGGGUGAGUAACACGUGGGGAAUCUGCCUAUAAGUGGGGGAUAACAUUCGGAAACGGAUGCUAAUACCGCAUAUAUUCUUGGACCGCCUGGUCCUUGAAAGAAAGACGGCUUUGCUGUCGCUUAUAGAUGAUCCCGCGGCGUAUUAGUUAGUUGGUGGGGUAAAGGCCUACCAAGACAAUGAUACGUAGCCGACCUGAGAGGGUGAUCGGCCACACUGGGACUGAGACACGGCCCAGACUCCUACGGGAGGCAGCAGUAGGGAAUCUUCCACAAUGGGCGAAAGCCUGAUGGAGCAAUGCCGCGUGAAUGAAGAAGGUCUUCGGAUCGUAAAGUUCUGUUAUUAGAGAAGAACAAGUCAAGGAAUAACUGUCAUGACUUUGACGGUACCUAACCAGAAAGUCACGGCUAACUACGUG
rnacentral:rRNA from 1 species